rnacentral:rRNA from 1 species
GUGAGUCUUGUGAGGGGGGUAGAAUUCCAGGUGUAGCGGUGAAAUGCGUAGAGAUYUGGAGGAAUACCGGUGGGAAGGCGGCCCCCUGGACAAAGAUGACGCUCAGGUGCGAAAGCGUGGGGAGCAAACAGGAUUAGAUACCCUGGUAGUCCACGCCGUAAACGAUGUACUUGGAGGUUGUGCCCUUGAGGCGUGGCUUCCGGAGCUAACGCGUUAAAGUCGACCGCCU